GGUGGGGUGGCAGAGCGGACGAUUGCGCUGGUCUUGAAAACCAGUAGGCCCUUUUUGGGUCUCAGAGGUUCGAAUCCUCUCCCCACCG
rnacentral:tRNA from 1 species